GAAUAGGGGAGCCGGAGGGAAACCGAGUCUUAAUUGGGCGUUAAGUUGCAGGGUAUAGACCCGAAACCCGGUGAUCUAGCCAUGGGCAGGUUGAAGGUUGGGUAACACUAACUGGAGGACCGAACCGACUAAUGUUGAAAAAUUAGCGGAUGACCUGUGGCUGGGGGUGAAAGGCCAAUCAAACCGGGAGAUAGCUGGUUCUCCCCGAAAGCUAUUUAGGUAGCGCCUCGUGAAUUCAUCUCCGGGGGUAGAGCACUGUUUCGGCUAGGGGGCCAUCCCGGCUUACCAACCCGAUGCAAACUGCGAAUACCGGAGAAUGUUAUCACGGGAGACACACGGCGGGUGCUAACGUCCGUCGUGAAGAGGGAAACAACCCAGACCGCCAGCUAAGGUCCCAAAGUCAUGGUUAAGUGGGAAACGAUGUGGGAAGGCCCAGACAGCCAGGAUGUUGGCUUAGAAGCAGCCAUCAUUUAAAGAAAGCGUAAUAGCUCACUGGUCGAGUCGGCCUGCGCGGAAGAUGUAACGGGGCUAAACCAUGCACCGAAGCUGCGGCAGCGAACGUAUCACUUAAAGCGAUUCAGCGGGUUACGAUUGACGGAGCGAAGCGACGUCAAAGCGUAUACAAAGUCGAGUCGGUUUAAGGAUACGUUCGUUGGGUAGGGGAGCGUUCUGUAAGCCUGUGAAGGUGUGUCGUGAGGCAUGCUGGAGGUAUCAGAAGUGCGAAUGCUGACAUAAG
rnacentral:rRNA from 1 species